rnacentral:rRNA from 1 species
CCUACGGGUUGCACCAGUGGGGAAUAUUGCACAAUGGGCGCAAGCCUGAUGCAGCCAUGCCGCGUGUAUGAAGAAGGCCUUCGGGUUGUAAAGUACUUUCAGCGGGGAGGAAGGCGUUGUGGUUAAUAACCACAGCGAUUGACGUUACCCGCAGAAGAAGCACCGGCUAACUCCGUGCCAGCAGCCGCGGUAAUACGGAGGGUGCAAGCGUUAAUCGGAAUUACUGGGCGUAAAGCGCACGCAGGCGGUCUGUCAAGUCGGAUGUGAAAUCCCCGGGCUCAACCUGGGAACUGCAUUCGAAACUGGCAGGCUAGAGUCUUGUAGAGGGGGGUAGAAUUCCAGGUGUAGCGGUGAAAUGCGUAGAGAUCUGAAGGAAUACCAGUGGCGAAGGCGGCCCCCUGGACAAAGACUGACGCUCAGAUGCGAAAGCGUGGGGAGCAAACAGGAUUAGAUACCCGGGUAGUC